GAUGAACGCUGGCGGCGUGGAUAAGGCAUGCAAGUCGAAUGGGUUUAGACCCAUGGCAGACGAGGUAGUAACACGUAGGUACGCACCCCAAAGUCGGGCAUAACUAGCCGAAAGGUUAGAUAAUUCUCGAUAGUCUCGUAAGAGUAAAGAUUUAUCGCUUUGGGAGCGGCCUGCGUAGUAUCAGCUAGUUGGUAGGGUAAUGGCCUACCAAGGCUAUGACGCUUAGGGGGACCUGAGAGGGUGACCCCCACCGAUGGAACUGAGACAUGGUCCAUACACCUACGGGGUGGCUGCAGUCGAGAAUCUUCCGCAAUGGACGAAAGUCUGACGGAGCGACGCCGCGUGAUUGAUG
rnacentral:rRNA from 1 species